rnacentral:ncRNA from 1 species
AAAGGGAAUGAAGUUCUCCCUUGGCUCUAUGUCAAAACCGCUGAAAGGCUGAUGGCUUCUGCA